rnacentral:rRNA from 1 species
GGCCUACGGGACGCAGCAGUGAGGAAUAUUGGUCAGUGGCCGAGAGGCUGAACCAGCCAAGUCGCGUGAGGGAUGACGGCCCUACGGGUUGUAAACCUCUUUUGUCGGGGAGCAAGACCCGCCACGAGUGGCGGAGCGAGAGUACCCGAAGAAAAAGCAUCGGCUAACUCCGUGCCAGCAGCCGCGGUAAUACGGAGGAUGCGAGCGUUAUCCGGAUUUAUUGGGUUUAAAGGGUGCGCAGGCGGCACGGCAAGCCGGCGGUCAAAUCGCGGGGCUCAACCCCGCCCAGCCG